UGUAAAGCCUAAUAAUGUGGUGUGUCCACCAGACCUGGGAACAUUGGCUGUGUAACAAAAAUUUGAACACCACACAAAGGUUAAGUUAGCUGCUAA